GACAUUUAUUGAGUGCUUACUGCAUGGCCAGGCACUGGGCCUGUAGGGAUGUGUAGGAACUGCUUCUGAACAGCCCCGAAUAUCGAUGACCACACCCUGUUAACCUCAGGAGAUGAAUCCAAGACCUAUCUUUGGAGAGCCUGAACUCAGAAGUCCAAGUCCUGUCACUUCCUGGAGUGUGCCUUUAGGCACAGUACUUCACCUGUCUGAGCUGCAGUGUCCUCAGGGGGAAAUCAGGGAAGCCACUGAGGCCAACGGAAGCAUGCCUACUUUUGCCUGGAAUUCAGUCAGCUCAGCAUCGUCACUCUUGUAAGCGUAUGCUCAUCAGAAGCUCUGACUGGCACUGCUGAUAUCACAGACUCUGGGCUGUGAGGAGUGGACCAGUCCUGUCCUGGGGCCGACCUGGUGGUAAGUAGUCAUUGUAGCUGAAAUAAGACAAAGUUCACUGUAUUCUUGGCAUUUGGAUUUCACGUUUCCAGUUUUGACUCUUUCGUAGUGACCUCAGAAUUCAUAGAGAAUUUGCAGCUGUGCUGAGCAUAGCGAUCCAGUGUGGGAAGGACUCCACUGGCUAGUUCGUGAACUGAGCAAGCGUCUGCACCCCAUAUCUAUUCUAUAUUCCUUGCUGACCUGAGCAUCUUAUGGAGAAUGUGGACUUGGCAGUUUGGCCAGAUUAGCUCUGAUCAUUG